AAUUGCUCUCCCUAUGGUAUAGAACACCAACUUUACUACAUCGAAUAUUCCCAUCAAUUCCCCAGGUGUGCUGGAGGUGCCAGGAAAGACGCGGCACGGUGCUACACAUCUGGUGGGAGUGCAGAGAUAUCACCCCAUAUUGGGAAAUGAUUAGGGGCACAGUGAAGCUUAUCCAGGGAGACAUACCGGAGUGGAAUGCGGAAUUGGCAUUGUUACACAUCUCGACACAACCCAUAUCAUCGUACAAGAAGGCCAAGGCCAAGAUACCAGCCCACUGGAAAAAGAGUGAAGUACCUACUAGAAAAGAGUUGAUUUGCAGAGUAGAAGAUAUUCAGGGAGCAGAAGAAGCACAUGCUACCCUGACAGGACGAGGAACCAGGCAUGCGGAGCUGUGGAUGCCAUGGUUCUUAUAUAUCUCCCGUUACCGUCGUGAUGGAGACGCACCGGGAAACACGGCAGGGGUACCGACUGACGCAAGCCUUACGGGAGGAAUCACACCUCACAUAUCAUGAUUGCCCAUUACCCCCUGCUCCUAACCCUUUCCUUACCCCCCCUACCAGACUACCGAGGCCUGUGUAACCGGGUUCGAGGCCAGACGGGCCGAUUAUGAGACAGACAAAUAGCAUAAUAAACUAGGAGAGUAAUAAGGAUAAACAAAAAGAGAAACAGAAGAUGGAAAAUGACAAAAGACAAUGAUACCUGAUCAGUGGCACAGAGAUCCAGGACACUCUGUGGCUUGGAUACCUGGCAAUUAGACGGGAAUAUAGCAAAACAUAAUGAACGUAUGUCAAUUAGAUAGACACACACCCCAUCACACCCGCGCACAACAGAGACGCCCAUUUUCAACAAAACAUCGACACCUAACACGUAAUAGCUAAGGACAAGGAUUCAGGGGACAGAGGAGGUGCAGAGAAACCUAAACAACACUCGGGCUCUGCCAUAGGUAAAAGUCAUGGGGGGAAACUAGACCCCGAGCAAUUAAUAUAAGCUACAUAAUAUGUGUAAGCUUCCACUUAAGAUUGAAACCUGGAGUUUCACAAAAACUAAGGUGAUAAAUUCAAUGUUAUAGCAGAAGUGAGCAUAUAUGUACCCUAAAGUAGGGAGAGGUUAACUAGAUCUACUCCCCAGAAUGUUGACU